rnacentral:tRNA from 1 species
AAAUUGGUAAGCUAAAUAUAAGCUAAUAGGUUCAUACCCUAUAUAUAGAGAUAACUACUCUCCUAUUUA